rnacentral:rRNA from 1 species
CACGUAGGGUGCGAGCGUUGUCCGGAAUUAUUGGGCGUAAAGAGCUCGUAGGCGGUGUGUCGCGUCGGCCGUGAAAACCUGCAGCUUAACUGUGGGCUUGCGGUCGAUACGGGCAUCACUGGAGUUCGGCAGGGGAGACUGGAAUUCCAGGUGUAGCGGUGAAAUGCUUAGAUAUCUGGAGGAACACCAGUGGCGAAGGCGGUGUUCUGGGCCUGUACUGACGCUGAGGCGCGAAAGCGUGGGGAGCGAACAGG